rnacentral:rRNA from 1 species
CCUACGGGAGGCAGCAGUGGGGAAUAUUGCACAAUGGGGGAAACCCUGAUGCAGCAACGCCGCGUGGGUGAAGAAGUAUUUCGGUAUGUAAAGCCCUAUCAGCAGGGAAGAGAAUGACGGUACCUGACUAAGAAGCCCCGGCUAACUACGUGCCAGCAGCCGCGGUAAUACGUAGGGGGCAAGCGUUAUCCGGAUUUACUGGGUGUAAAGGGAGCGUAGACGGUUGUGCAAGUCUGAAGUGAAAGCCCGCGGCUCAACUGCGGAACGGCUUUGGAAACUGUGUAACUGGAGUGCUGGAGAGGUAAGCGGAAUUCCUGGUGUAGCGGUGAAAUGCGUAGAGAUCAGGAGGAACACCGGCGGCGAAGGCGGCUUACUGGACAGUAACUGACGUUGAGGCUCGAAAGCGUGGGGAGCAAACAGGAUUAGAUACCCCUGUAGUC